AUUGCUUCUCGGCCUUUUGGCUAAGAUCAAGUGUGUGUAAUUUUUUAAAAAAAACUGCUUCCAAGGAAGCACCAAACAAGUGUAAUCCCAGUUACAGUAUUAUUUAUUGCUACUUAAUUUUG
rnacentral:snRNA from 1 species